GUCGGGAGGGCGGCAGCGAUACAAGACCCUUUGGGGAAAGCUGCCCGCCGUCUUUGUCCGGUUUCUUAGCCUCCCGACACCCACAG
rnacentral:ncRNA from 1 species